AGAGUUUGAUCCUGGCUCAGGACGAACGCUGGCGGCGCGCCUAACACAUGCAAGUCGAACGAGCGAGAGAGAGCUUGCUUUCUCGAGCGAGUGGCGAACGGGUGAGUAACGCGUGAGGAACCUGCCUCAAAGAGGGGGACAACAGUUGGAAACGACUGCUAAUACCGCAUAAGCCCACGGCUCGGCAUCGAGCAGAGGGAAAAGGAGCAAUCCGCUUUGAGAUGGCCUCGCGUCCGAUUAGCUAGUUGGUGAGGUAACGGCCCACCAAGGCGACGAUCGGUAGCCGGACUGAGAGGUUGAACGGCCACAUUGGGACUGAGACACGGCCCAGACUCCUACGGGAGGCAGCAGUGGGGAAUAUUGCACAAUGGGGGAAACCCUGAUGCAGCGACGCCGCGUGGAGGAAGAAGGUCUUCGGAUUGUAAACUCCUGUUGUUGAGGAAGAUAAUGACGGUACUCAACAAGGAAGUGACGGCUAACUACGUGCCAGCAGCCGCGGUAAAACGUAGGUCACAAGCGUUGUCCGGAAUUACUGGGUGUAAAGGGAGCGCAGGCGGGAAGACAAGUUGGAAGUGAAAACCAUGGGCUCAACCCAUGAAUUGCUUUCAAAACUGUUUUUCUUGAGUAGUGCAGAGGUAGGUGGAAUUCCCGGUGUAGCGGUGGAAUGCGUAGAUAUCGGGAGGAACACCAGUGGCGAAGGCGGUCUACUGGGCACCAACUGACGCUGAGGCUCGAAAGCAUGGGUAGCAAACAGGAUUAGAUACCCUGGUAGUCCAUGCCGUAAACGAUGAUUACUAGGUGUUGGAGGAUUGACCCCUUCAGUGCCGCAGUUAACACAAUAAGUAAUCCACCUGGGGAGUACGACCGCAAGGUUGAAACUCAAAGGAAUUGACGGGGGCCCGCACAAGCAGUGGAGUAU
rnacentral:rRNA from 1 species